rnacentral:rRNA from 1 species
UACGUAGGUGGCAAGCGUUGUCCGGAUUUAUUGGGUUUAAAGGGUGCGUAGGCGGCUUUGUAAGUCAGUGGUGAAAUAUGGCAGCUCAACUGUCAAGGUGCCAUUGAUACUGCAGAGCUUGAGUACAGAUGAGGUAGGCGGAAUUGACGGUGUAGCGGUGAAAUGCGUAGAGAUCGUGAGGAAGACCAGUGGCGAAGGCGGGUCUCUGGACAGUUCCUAACACUGAGGCACGAAGGCCAGGGGAGCAAACGGG